rnacentral:rRNA from 1 species
AUGAAUUUUAAACAACUUGAUCAUGAGCAUGUUGCCCAAUCUUGGGAAAGAAUGAAAUUGAUGAUUUGCAAUUGCCCUACUCAUGGUUUGAAUUUAUGGAUGAUCAUACAAAAAUUUUAUGCCGGUUUGAACUCUGCUUCUAGAAAUCUUUUAGAUUCGGCCACGGGAGGCACAUUUAUGGAAAUCACGUUAGGAGAUGCUACAAAACUUCUUGAUAAUAUUAUGGCUAAUUAUUCUCAAUGGCACACCAAAAGAUCUACUAGUAAAAAAGUGCAUGCUAUAGAAGAAAUUAAUGUUUUGAGUGGAAAGAUGGAUGAACUUAUGAAAUUAUUUGCUACUAAGAAUGCUCCUCUGGAUCCCAAUGAUAUGCCUUUGUCUACUUUGAUCGAGAAUAAUAAUGAAUCUAUGGAUGUGAAAUUUGUUGGUAGGAAUGGUUUUGGAAACAAUGCUUAUAGAGGAAACUUAAAUCCUAGACCGUUCCCUAGUAAUUCCUCUAAUAAUUAUGGAAAUUCCUACAAUAAUUCUUAUGGUAAUUUUAAUAAGAUGCCCUCUGAUUUUGAGAAUAGUGUGAAAGAAUUUAUGAUUUCUCAAAAGAAUUUUAAUGCCUUGCUUGAAGAAAAAUUGCUCAAAGUUGAUGAUUUGGCUAGGAACGUUGAUAGACUUUUGCUUGAUGUUGAUUCUGUUAAACUUAUAUCUAAUCCUCCUAAGCAUGAUAUGAAUGAGUCUCUCAAAGCAAUGAGAAUUUCCAUUGAUGAGUGCAAGGAAAGAACCGCUAGAUUGCGUGCUAACCUAUUAGAUAUUUGUUUUGCAAUAUGA